UUUCAAGUCAAACUGUUUGCGAUAGUUUGACUAUAAUUGAUAUUAAAAAAAUUCUAAAUAAAUUAUUACAUUAAAUCAUACUCUACCUCAACCACAAUGUAUUUAAAAAUGCAUUGGUUUGUUAUGAAAAAGAAUGCUAUUAAACGUGUGCUUUUAAAGUAUAACUUUUUAAAUGUAACAAUUCAAAACAAAUACAAACUUAACAGACUAAGUUGGCUCCGCCCACCCUCUCGCAUCUUGUUGACACUUUGUGUCUGAUUGACAGGAACAACAGGUGACGCUGUUAGUCUGAGCAGACAGUCAGAACUAAUGUGUGUGCGCUUGAGCAUUUAGGACUAUAUUAUAUUUCUUUUUUCGUUCUUUGAAUUAGUUAAUUCAUUUAAAUCUUUUGAUUAUUCAUAUAUGUAUAAUUCGGCUCUUCUGAUAUGCGAGCCGGUUCCCAACGUCCACCAAAGAAUCGGUUCUUAGAGCCAACUCAUUCGCACAAGGCCCAUCACUACUUCAUUUUCUCCUGUAUUCACAGGUAAAAGUAAUCUGUCAGCUGGGUCUGAGUUGGGGCCUGUAACACAUAUACAGUGCCAUAAUUGUGAGAAUUAUGAAACUGCACAUGCUGUUCUGCUCUGUGUGUUUUUGCUUUCUAUGUAUGUGUGCUCAGUUGACCCCAGAUGCACGCCGCACACCUCAGGGUGUGCAUGGUAUUGGGGCAAUAUAUUUAGCAAUUGCUGACGGUUCCCCUUUUCUCUCUUCCUCUUUAUGAUGUUCUGUAUUCCGUGAAGCAUGGGCUACUUGUUUUUGUGAGUUGAAUAGGUCAUACUGGUCUUCGUGAGGUGAACAGUGUCAGCCAUAUGCAGAGCCGGCCCAAGGCAUAAGCGAACUAAGCAGCUGCUUAGGGCCCCGUGGACACCAGAGGGCCCCCAAGAGCACAUGAAAUGACAGCUUGAUUUUGUUUUUUGUUUUUGUGAUAUACUGUCAAUGGACAAUGGUAAUUAUACAAAAACGCAAUAUUAAGUUAACGGGCUGCAGGAUGCAAGCACAUUCAGACAGCAAAUCAAUGUCACAAAAAAGGACAUAUCCUCUGGUGCAGUGAAAGGAAAAAGAAGAAUAGAGGAAACAGAGGAAGAGAAAAAACAGCAAGAUAAAGGUCCAUCCUCUGCAGGCGAGGAGCACUUCCCAGCACGUACAUCCACUGAUCCUACUGUUCCUUCCAUGUCUGUUUCAACCUCAGCGGAUGUGGCAAGUUAAUAGCACAGCAGCCUUUGUGAACUUCCAGCCUACACCAUGGAUCAGCAGCUCCUCCAGUUGACCCAGCUGAGUUGUCAUCUAUCCUGUCCGACUCAGAAAGGACUGAUCUGGUAAGCAGAGGGCCACUGCCUAUAAAGGAAAACUUCACAUUCCCUGAAAAACCUGAUGGCCGAAGCUUCCACUACCACUACACCUUCAGAAAAUGUAUUAAUGGGGAAUAAUGUAAGUGGAGCUGGCUCACUUAUUCAAAAAGAAAUGAUGCAGUCUACAGCUUCUGCUGCAAAUUGUUCUCUAGGAAGUCCACAAAACUGGUAACAGAGGGAUAACAAGAUUGGGUAAAUAUAGGUGUGCUACUGUUACAAUUAAAACCAUAGAAGGGUAAAAUCAUGCCAGGCAGACAUUGGUAUUUUGUAAGCACCACAGCUACUAAUAACAUUGAUAAGGGGUGUGUUAGAUUUAUAGUGUGUGAAUAAAGCAUUGACAAUAUUCAAUCAUAUUGGCGGCACCCAAAUCAAAUUCUGCUUGGGGCCCCAUAAAGGCUUGGGCGGCCCUGGCCAUAUGGCAGAAUGUCUGGGGCAUCUGUAUAUGGUCCUGUUCCUGUAUCACUCCGGUGUACCCAGUUUAUCCCCUUAAUCAUAUAAGCCUUGUCACUUUACUAUUGGCUGUUCUUUGUCUCAUGAAGAAUAUAAAUAACAUGCUUGCUGUAAUAAACAU